rnacentral:rRNA from 1 species
UGGCGAACGGGUGAGUAAUACAUCGGAACGUGUCCUGUAGUGGGGGAUAGCCCGGCGAAAGCCGGAUUAAUACCGCAUACGACCUAAGGGAGAAAGCGGGGGAUCUUCGGACCUCGUGCUAUAGGGGCGGCCGAUGGCAGAUUAGCUAGUUGGUGGAGUAAAGGCCUACCAAGGCGACGAUCUGUAGCUGGUCUGAGAGGACGACCAGCCACACUGGGACUGAGACACGGCCCAGACUCCUACGGGAGGCAGCAGUGGGGAAUUUUGGACAAUGGGGGCAACCCUGAUCCAGCAAUGCCGCGUGUGUGAAGAAGGCCUUCGGGUUGUAAAGCACUUUUGUCCGGAAAGAAAACCUCGUGGCUAAUAUCCGUGAGGGAUGACGGUACCGGAAGAAUAAGCACCGGCUAACUACGUGCCAGCAGCCGCGGUAAUACGUAGGGUGCGAGCGUUAAUCGGAAUUACUGGGCGUAAAGCGUGCGCAGGCGGUCUGUUAAGACCGAUGUGAAAUCCCCGGGCUUAACCUGGGAACUGCAUUGGUGACUGGCAGGCUUUGAGUGUGGCAGAGGGGGGUAGAAUUCCACGUGUAGCAGUGAAAUGCGUAGAGAUGUGGAGGAAUACCGAUGGCGAAGGCAGCCCCCUGGGCCAACACUGACGCUCAUGCACGAAAGCGUGGGGAGCAAACAGGAUUAGAUAACCCUGGUAGUCCACGCCCUAAAACGAUGUCAACUAGUUGUUGGGGAUUUAUUUCCUUAGUAACGUAGCUAACGCGUGAAGUUGACCGCCUGGGGAGUACGGUCG